GGGUUAGUAGGUUGGUCAUGCCUCUGGUAUGUACUGGUCUCACUGAUUCCUCCUUCCUGAUGAACCUUAAUGCCAUUAAUUUGGUGUUGCGGGGAAUUUGGACUGUUACUUUGAAAAAAUUAGAGUGUUUAAAGCAAGCUAACGCUUGAAUACAUUAGCAUGGAAUAAUGAAAUAGGACGUUCGAUCCUAUUUUGUUGGUUUCUGGAACCGCCGUA
rnacentral:rRNA from 1 species